rnacentral:lncRNA from 12 species
UAGGAGGGAGAAUGUGACAUAUGGGAGGUGAUUGGAAAACUUUAAAAAAGAGUUUCAUUUAUAGGGGAAAAUGAUGGCUUUGAAAUGUAUUGCUUCAAUUUAACCAUUAUUUUCCCUUGGGCUCAAGAAGACACACACACACACACACACACACACACACACACUCCAAAGCAGAAAAUGGCCUUUUGAGGGCUUAUGAUUCAACUUACUCCUUGCUUAGAUGAGGAGAUCUAAAUUCCAAAUGAGAAAUUACUUGCUUCAGGACACAAAGCUAACCUCUGUUGGAGGCAAAACAUUACCCCAAGGUCUAACUCUGGUCCAGUGAACUGUACUUAGUCACUGUGUUCCAGAGCCCAAAGGAGAUGAGCAUCUCUAAGAAUGCUUAAAGGGCCAUUUAAACUGGUUUCUGACCCGAAAGAAUCAUGAGUUGCACAAAAGAUACCUCCCUUCCCCCUAGCAAGCAAAGAGUGCACCCCAUCCAUGUGACUUCAUAAUCCAGACUCCAUGAUUCCAGAGAAACCAAAGAGAAUUAUGGCAGGGCCCCGCUGAUGCUCCUGUGUUUCUUUUCCCCAUGAGAGACAUGCCCUCCCUGGGGGAGAUCAGAACACAUUGAUUUGAACGUACAUGGAACUAUCUAAGAAUGAUACUAGAGCAUGUGGGAAAGCAGAUCAUGAUGAAAGAUGACCCUAACCCAAGGAAAAGCAGGUAGUGGGAGGAAGAGUGUGUUCAUAUUCAAAGACAAAGUCUGGGGCCACCCAAGGCAGAGUGUGCAAUUUUCACCCAAGUCACUACCAGCUGGCCUCGAGCAGUGGUCAUUCUUCACAUUUCCCAAGGAGCAAAUGGCUUCCAGUCACCAGAUCAACUUCCCUCUGCAGAGGUGGACAUCUCUGGCACUUCCCUGAUGCCAGGCGUUACUGCGGACUUACAGAGAGGACAGCGAGGGUGCGGCUCCACCAGGAUGCUCCCAGUGGAAAUGCAGGCAGGUGGGACAGAAGCAAAAGAGAGGAAGACCACAGAACUGCAAAGCUCAAGCCAGGUCCCUUUGGUCCAAUCGCUUGGGACACUCAAGGGAGACGGUGCCCAACAAGCAGCAGAAUGGCUGAGGCAGCCCUGAUAGGGAGGGCUGCGGACCACGUAGUGACGCCCUUUCUGAGUUCACAUCCUUCAUUCUGUCCAGACCGUGCACAGAUUCCCAGCACCCAUUCAGACACAGUUGUCCUGCUCUGACUUUAGUGCACAUUUUCCUACCUGCAUCUCAUACCCCUAGCUCCUGCCUCUUUUUUCUUUCUAGGUUUAUUUAUGUCAUCCCAUCACUUUGUGUUGUCACCUAGUCCCAGUUCCACAUUCUUUGCCAACUUUUAGCGACUUUAGAAAAUAUGGUUGCCAUAACAACGCUUGCAAAAAUCACGGGCUGGCUGCAUUAUUUAGCAGUUGGCAUGUCCCACCUCCAAACGACAUCCUGGCAAGACAGAGGGUGUGGGCUUCUAUUUUAUGUUAAUAUUGAGACUCAAGGGGAAGAACCAACACGUUCACCACUGGCUGGAAGACACACACACUAGCUCAUUUAACUCUUCAACUACCCUGUUUGGUACAAACCAAACGAGUCCCAUUUUAUAGAUGAGAAAACUAAAGCCCAGAGAGGUUGAGCAACUUGCCCCAGGUCAUGAGUGUCCUGAGUGUCAGAAGGGGGACAGAAACCCCGAUCUGUCCAACUGUAAAACACAUGCUCUUCACCAGUAACUUAAGUCUCCUCUAUAAAUCAUUUCAAGGACCCUGAAGUGAAGACAAAAACAUGAGUGACAUUGUGAUGCACACCUCCAGAAGCCUCUGCUCCUAGCAACCUGCCCCUGCCCUCCCAAGAGCUUUUCUAGAUGAGAAUUCUGCUCUGGCCCAUGGUUGGUUAAAUAGAGCUAAUGCUUCCUUGGUUCUCUUCUUCUGUGAGAACCUGGGGUGUUAUUAGAAUAUCCUGGGGUUCAAUCACUGGUUGCCUGCCCCCCACACUGUAAUCAGAUCAGAAUCUGACACAGAGACUGAAGUUCAGGUAUAAGUAGUCAGUUACAAAAUAAGUUCCUUAAUGAAUCAGAUCAUUAAUUAAGGAGAACCCAGCAAGAAAGUGGGGGAAGCAGGAUAUGGAAGAGGAAGAAGCCAAGGAAGAGAGCAUUUCUGGUGGGAUCCCAGGCUCAACCUAAUCCCAUGGGGAGGUCUGGAGCAUAUAUUACCCCGGAGU